GGAAGGCAGAAGCUCUUGACCGGUACUGAUAUUGUCUUAUAGCCUUUUCAUAUUUGUUCCUUGCCUUUUUGUCAUGAUAUAAAUGGAGAUGUUCUUCCUGUUACUCAAGGUUUUCUGUGGGAAAUGGUUUCUAUUGCAGUUGGACCAUAUCCAUGGGAAAAAGGGUUUAGUAUUUGUGGAGUAUCUUCUAUGAAUUUCUUUGAAUCAGCUGCUUUUAUUCUCCUAUAUGGAAAUUGCGCUGAAGGUUAUAUGACGUUUGUGCACAGGUUCUGUAGGCCAAUAAUGACGA
rnacentral:misc_RNA from 1 species